rnacentral:rRNA from 1 species
UCCCGAACUUCUUGUUGACACAGAGUUUGAUCCUGGCUCAGAUUGAACGCUGGCGGCAGGCCUAACACAUGCAAGUCGAGCGGUAGCACAGAGAGCUUGCUCUCGGGUGACGAGCGGCGGACGGGUGAGUAAUGUCUGGGAAACUGCCUGAUGGAGGGGGAUAACUACUGGAAACGGUAGCUAAUACCGCAUAACGUCGCAAGACCAAAGAGGGGGACCUUCGGGCCUCUUGCCAUCAGAUGUGCCCAGAUGGGAUUAGCUAGUAGGUGGGGUAAUGGCUCACCUAGGCGACGAUCCCUAGCUGGUCUGAGAGGAUGACCAGCCACACUGGAACUGAGACACGGUCCAGACUCCUACGGGAGGCAGCAGUGGGGAAUAUUGCACAAUGGGCGCAAGCCUGAUGCAGCCAUGCCGCGUGUAUGAAGAAGGCCUUCGGGUUGUAAAGUACUUUCAGCGAGGAGGAAGGCAUUAAGGUUAAUAACCUUAGUGAUUGACGUUACUCGCAGAAGAAGCACCGGCUAACUCCGUGCGAGCAGCCGCGGUAAUACGGAGGGUGCAAGCGUUAAUCGGAAUUACUGGGCGUAAAGCGCACGCAGGCGGUCUGUCAAGUCGGAUGUGAAAUCCCCGGGCUCAACCUGGGAACUGCAUUCGAAACUGGCAGGCUAGAGUCUUGUAGAGGGGGGUAGAAUUUCUAGUGUAGCGGUGAAAUGCGUAGAGAUCUGGAGGAUACCGGUGGCGAAGCGGCCCCCUGGACAAAGACUGACGCUCAGUGCGAAAGCGUGGGGGAGCAAACAGAUUAGAUACCCUGGUAGUCCACGCCGUAAAACGAUGUCGACUGGGAGGGUUGUUCCUGGAGGAGUGCCUUCCUGAGCUUAACGCGUUAAGUCGACGCCUGGGGGGAGUACGACCGCAGAUAAACCUCAAUUGAAUUUGACGGGCUCGCCACUCAAAGUCAGGGUGUGGGACAUGGUGGUUAAUUUCGAUGGCACCGCGAGAACCUUACCGUAACUCCUUUGGGACACUCCCGAGAAAUUUGUCUAGAAUUGGCCUGUUGUGCCCUUCCCGGAAACUCU